UGAAUCUCUGAAUUAAAUUGAGCCCCUGUCUUGGUGCAAGACUAGAAAAAGUACAGUACAGCGCUCUGGUGGUCACCUGUGUUCCUGGGAUUCUAUGUUUUCUGUGUUUUCAGCAUGGACCUUUUACUGUGGUAUUUCCACAUGCCUUGGAUCUGGGGAAAGAGCACAGAAGUCUCUGUGAGAAGGGUCGCGAGCCUCUGCUUCAAACCCGGAUUUUUUAAUAGACCAAACUGAUAAGAACACCCCUGUACUGCCCAAGGAAAAACAAAGCCACAUUAGCUGGCCAGGUCAAAAGCUCUCCACCUCUGCAUGAAGUUGAGAUUUUGGAAGAUGUAGUCUGGGAGUACAGAUUAUUUUUCUGGCCCCUCCCUUUCUGAGAUAGGACCAAUGGAUUGGAUGAGAAGAGGAUGGAUUGACAGGACCAGCAGGAUGUCAUCCUGACCUUCAAAGACAAGAUGGGCAAACUGAGUCGAGGCUAUACAACUAGAAAUGGCAGAGUCAAUAUUUCGGCCCAGGAAAACUGAUGCCAAAGCCUUAACAUACUAACCAAUACCUUGUGAUACUUCUCAC